UGCUAUUUUCUGAUGUCAGAAUCAGUAUUAGUAAAAUGUUUAAGUACCAAAAUAUUUUUUUCUAUUUUUGUACAAGUAAACAUAUAUUGAAAGCCCAUUUUUUUGGCGAAUUUUAGCAGAUUUUAUGUGGCAACACAUAAUGACACUCCUCAAGGGCAAGCCAACCAAUCCAACCUAAAAUCUUUUUAAAAAAGUUACGCGUCUUUGUAUAAUUUUUUUUUUAUUGUUCGAAACGCAUUUUGAGGGAUCCUAGCUUUAGCGUCGAUUUGCUAUCAUUGUAUUUUGCGCGCUUCACUUAUCUACAAAUUUCCAGAUUGGUUGAAAAUUUUAAUAUCAAUCAUUGAAUUAUAAAUCUAUUAAUUAAAUAUUUUAGUUCAUCCUGCUUACCAUCAUAUUCAAAUAAAUAUUCCGUAAAUACAUCAUUCUAUCACCGGAUUGAAUAAUACUGCAGAAGACGGCAGAGGUGUUUUGGCUCUGUUUGGUGAAAAGGCUGAUAAAGAAAAUGAGAAAGAAUAACUUCAGUCUUGUCUCAAAACAUCUCAAUAGAAUAUAUCAAUAUGAAAAAAGCUGACAGAAAAACAUUUUUUAUGCAAUAUAUUUGGGAAUAUGAAAAUAAUAUGUCUGAAAACUGAGAACAAUGAUCUUUAUUUGGAAAAUGCAUUAUGCAUAAAGAUAAAAUUGCAGAGAUUGUCAGUUUAGAAAAUUUGUUCUACAUAAAGAAAAAAUUCAAAACUGUGCUGGUUUACAAAAUUUAUUAUUUAUUAACAAAUUAUUGAUGAAUACUGUUACUUAGAAAAAUUUUCAUUUUACAAACUUGUGGAUACAGUUGGUGAGGUAGAUAGCAGAGAGAUUCAAUUCAAUUAAAUUAAAAUUUUCUUAUUCUUCAUAUAAGUAUCAGCAUUCCAUUUCUGUUUAUAACAAAUUGAAGAUUUCUCUGUAUCUGAAAGAUACUAUCUAGUUAUGCUUAUCAUGUGAAUGGCACUAAUACAAAAAACAAGAGUCCUGAAAAAAAGUUACAUAUGAAGUGAAGAAUGAAUUGAAAUGAAGAAUCAACAAUAUGGCUUUUUAAAAUUCCCAAAUCAUUGUCCUUAAUACCAGUGUGAUGGUAAUUUAGAAAAAAUGUAACAAAUGAUUCAAAGAGUGGAGUAACAAUUGGAAAAUUGUUUAUUCUUUUUACUCUGUCCGAUUGCAUACAAAUAGUUCAUUUAGAGGUAUUUUUAUUUUCUUCUUACUCUACUCGAAGUAGAACAUUCUAUUUGACUUUGUUUCUUUGUAAUUAUACCAAAUAUGUGGUAAUGAAUUAAAGGGGAAAACAUUCAACAAUAUUAUGUUGCACAAUAAAAAUAAAAAAUGGUUAAUA